rnacentral:rRNA from 1 species
AUUGAACGCUGGCGGCAGGCCUAACACAUGCAAGUCGAGCGAGCGGCGGACGGGUGAGUAAUGUGUGGGAAACUGCCUGAGGGAGGGGGAUAACUACUGGAGACGGUAGCUAAUACAGCAUACCAUCAGAUGUGCCCAGAUGGGAAUGGCUAGUAGGUGGGGGAACGGCUCACCUAGGGGACGAUCCCCAGCUGGCCUGAGAGGAUGACCAGGCACACUGGCACUGUGACACGGUCCAGACGCCCACGGGAGGCAGCAGUGGGGACUAUUGCACAAGUGGCGCAAGGCGGAGGCAGCCAUGCCGCGUGUGUGAAGAAGGCCUUCGGGUUGUAAAGCACUUUCAGCUGGGAGGCGUUACCCGCAGAAGAAGCACCGGCUAACUCCGUGCCAGCAGCCGCGGUAAUUC